rnacentral:lncRNA from 1 species
GUCCCCGGCGUCCGGGCGCCCUGCAUGGAUCCCCCACCCCAGCUCCUGCUCCCCGGCGGCGGCCGGUGGGCAGAAAGACCGAAACCCACUCACGGCCGCCUGCCGAAUCGCGGCUCUGCUGUUUGUGGGGCGUGCUAGAAACGUGGUCCUAAAAAGAAUGGCGUCCAUUUACAUAAUGCUUUGUUUGCGUUUCGCAAGUUUCUUUCGGUUAAAGCCACAGAAACCCCACCUCCUGCCCUUGUGUCGUUUCCACCGCGGCACCCUUUUCCGACAUUAGAAACAAUAGUGUACGCCUGUGGAGGCCUCGUUUGUUCAGGGGCUGCCGGCCAGGGCUUCAGGACGUUUCUGCGGCUUUCCCCGCGCGGCCUGGGCUCCCGCGGCUGCUUUUCGGGCCCAUGGGCGCAGCCACUGCGCCAGGCUCAAGGGGGGCGGCCCCGUCAGGGCCCGCCAUCUUGGAAGGCCUUUUUUGCCGGUUCUUCCCGCUGAGGAAGUGUCGCUCAAGACGCUGGCCUAUGAGUUGUGAUUUCUGCCUUUUCCCCUUCCUCCUUGGGCUAAGCCAGACCAGAAAGGGCCCCGUGCGCAACGUGCUUCACAAUCUCUCAGGGAAAGCGGCUAACGUGGCGCUACUCCGCCUCCCCUGUUCCUUACCCUUGGGGCGGCCGCCAUGUUUCCUGAACACAAAAUGGCGACACGUGGUUAGCAUUCGUCGCCAACGAGAAAUUGGGGUCGGCCCGAAAGCUCUAGAAUGCACCCCUCUUCCUCCCCGGGGCCUUCCACCUCCGCGAGUUUUAUGACUUAAAAAAGCCCACAGGCUGGUCUGAAGGUCGGAGGCCUAAUUUUAACGCGUUUUCCUCCCUUUAAUUUGAAACGGGAACGCGAAUGACUGUAAAAUGUGGGCACAAUAUUUAAUCUCUCGCCUUUUUAAAGCUUAAUAGUGGAUAAUAGGGGGGCAGUAUCAAGGGAUAAUUUGGGUCCCCACAGUACCAAAGCAUUUAGAAACCUCUGUUUAAUUUAAGGAAUGAGAUAAGUUACUGCUUUUCUAGACUUCCUAGCAUGGGCUGUUGUGCUGGAGAGAACGAGAGCUACGAAGAGACUACAGUGCCUCUGACUUUUUCAUAGGACAGUUGGCCGGUGAAUCUUAUUAAUAGUUUACCACAAUUAAGUGUUCAUUUUUAGUCUAGAAGGGACAGGCGUUUAUUGUGCAUUGGCCAGUGCCAGCACAUCCGAUGCAAGGCAGUUCACCGUAUUCUAUCUUUAAUUUUUACCAUGGUCCUCUGAGGUAGGUGUUCUUAUCUCUCUCUCUCUCUCUCUCUUUUAAACAGAGGAAGACAAACAUAAAGAUGAAGUGCUUAAUUCAAGGUCACACAAUGUCGGGGAUGGACCUCCAGAUUUCCUUACUGACCUGCAUUAUCUUGUGGAUACCUGAGUGAAUUCCACACCACCCAUUUUAUAGAUGAAACCACUGAGACAUGGAGCAAUUGACUGAGUAGUCACUGCCCCACCCCUGCCUGGAGCCUCACACAUGACUCGCCUCCUCUCAGUGACCACAGGAAAACAAGCUCAGGGCUCCCACUGAUUGUACAUUAUGAGACGGAGUCUUGCUAUGUUGCCCAGGCUGGUCUUGAACUCCUCACCUCAAGCGAUCCUCCCGUCUUGGCCUCCCAAGUGUCAGGAUUACGGGCAUGUGCUAUCACACCCAACCUGAUACAUUGCCUUUAUAAAUUUUUUUUUCUUUAUUCUAAAAACCAGAAAAAACAAAACUGGAUACAUGUGCAGAACAUGCAGACCAAGUGUGUUGGGGACUUGAGAUGCGUACAUGAGUGUGAUGUUUCCUGCUGAAAGCACAGGUGAGACGUGGUCUUGUAACACAGUGGUUAAGAAUGUGACUUUGGAGCCAGCCUGCUAGGGGCUGAAUUCUGACUCAGCCAUUUACUAACUGUGUGACCUUAGGGAGGAGGACCUGGUUGAUAGAAGAAUUUAUCUCGUAGUCUUAACAUCCACUGUAAUUCCAAACUUUGAGGACGAUAGAGAUCAGUGGGCUUUGACUGCCCAGCAUGCAGUCUCCAUUCUUAGGUGGGUUCCCAAGCCUGUAAAAUGUAAGCCUUAUGCUGCUGAGGGCCAUCUUGCCACCCUGAGGGAAACGCUGCCUGAGAAUGAAACAAGCAUAAGUAAAAGCUGAGCUGUGAGAUGGAGCAAGAUGAAGGCCACAUGACAUCUUUGGAGCACCUGGAUCUAACUGUGCCUUAAGCUAGUCUAACCCUGAACAUUUCAUCAUUUCAUUGACAUGAGCCCAGGUUUUCUUUUUUUUUGGAUGGAGUCUUGCUCUGUCGCCCAGGCUGGAGUGCAGUAGCUCAAUCUCGGCUCACUGCAAGCUCCACCUCCCGGGUUCACGCCAUUCUCCUGCCUUAGCCUCCCAAGUAGCUGGGACAACAGGCGCCCACCACCACUCCCAGCUAAUUUUUUGUAUUUUUAGUAGAGACGGGGUUUUACCAUGUUAGCCGGGAUGGUCUUGAUCUCCUGACCUCAUGAUCCGCCCGCCUCGGCCUCCCAAAGUGCUGGGAUUACAGGUGUGAGCCACUGCACCCAGCCCUCAGGUUUUCCCUUUUUUUACCCCUCCUUUUGAAAAUUUGAUGUGGAAUUUUGCCACCUGCAGCCAGAAGAGUUUUAACUAAUCAGUGCCAUAAAUUUUAUAUAGUUCUCCUUGCAAAAUGUGGAUCAGCCUUUCUCAGCAAAUCCUUUGUCAUAAAGUGCUGAAUUGUAAGUUUGUCAUGAGAAUCACAUGAGAUCAUGCAUGUGAAGAACCUGGCAUUAUCCUCCUCAUAGAAAAAAACCAGUAAAUAUUAACUACAGGAAGCAAGGAAGGAGUGGGGUGAGGGGAAGAAGAAGGGGUACUGAUUUAAAAGAACCCUGGAGUCCUAAGGAUAAUCUAGGAACCCUCAGACCCAAUCCGAUACCCCUAUUCUAAAUGCUCCUAGUGCCCUGUACCUUCCCCUCAUAAGCCUUCAUUAUCAUUGUAAUGAUAUGUUUAUGUAAUAUUUUGAUUAAUGUCUCUCCUUCACUGACCUAGCAGUUCUAGCAGGGCAGUGAUUUUGCUGUGUUGCAUCCCCAGCACCUAGUCUGGUAUGUGGCAUUCAGCAUAUGUUUAUUGAAUGAAUGGCCAUGUGGUUAUUCAGAUCCUCCUUGAUUAUUGGGGUUAGGAUUGUGGCAGAAGUGGCAAAAUCAGGGAGAGUAGUCCCUGUCCCCUCUGUAUCUUAUACACUGCCCACACUCCCAACACACAUACACAUACAGAGAAUUUUGUCUCAAUUAGAUAAUUAACUUCUGCUUGGUUGUAAACCAAACCACUGGUUCUUAAACUUUCAUUGGAUCAUUUUAUUGAAGAAUUAAAUAGUGUGGUUCUGGCCUAAUGUCUGGAAAGCCUUGCAGAGGAGUGGAUUAGGUCUUUGUGAUAAACAGGCAGCCUUCCCUGCUCCUGUGUCUUUAUAAAAUCUAUUUAACUGGAGUAGUCCACCCUCCCUCAGGCUCUUACAGGAAUAUGUUGGAGGCUGUAGGAAGGUGGGAAACCGAGAGGGAAAGGACUGGGCCGCUGGAGACUUCACUCAUUCCCUAGCAAGAAACAAAAGCAGUAAAAGGUGGCCCGAGGACAACCUGAAGCUCACUCCUUCAGCACUUUUGGCUGGAGGUCACUUGUUGGAGCCCCACUCAGAGCUCAGCACACCACCCCACCAGCAGCCUCCUCCUCCCAGCUGAGGCUGCAUUUCAUCCCUUCCCCCAGCCUGCUUUCCCUGAGAUAGGGGAGUGUUUCCCAGGGCCCAUGUGACUUCCACUGGCAAGUGACGAUUACCAAUGGUUUACUAGUCAGUGAAACUACCAAAGGCUUUUGUGCUGUAGUAAUCCUUUUCCUGUUUAAAACUCUGGGGAUUUUCUAAUGUUGCCAAUAGUUUUUCAAGUCAGCAAUUACUGUGUGGAUUAUGUAAUGGCUCGGUAUUAAAAAUAGAAAAGACUGGA